CCCUUAGAUGUCCUGGGCCGCACGCGCGUUACACUGAUGCAUUCAACGAGCUUAUAACCUUGGCCGACAGGCCUGGGCAAUCUUGUUAACGUGCAUCGUGAUAGGGAUAGAUUAUUGAAAUUAUUAAUCUUGAACGAGGAAUUCCUAGUAAACGCAGAUCAUCAAUCUGCAUUGAUUACGUCCCUGCCCUUUGUACACACCGCCCGUCGCACCUACCGAUUGGAUGGUCCGGUGAAGCCUCGGGAUUGUGGUUCUUGCCGCUUUAUUGUGGCGUGACCGCGAGAACUUGUCUAAACCUUAUCAUCUAGAGGAAGGUGAAGUCGUAACA
rnacentral:rRNA from 1 species